rnacentral:rRNA from 1 species
UACGGGGGGGGGCAAGCGUUGUUCGGAAUUACUGGGCGUAAAGGGCGCGUAGGCGGUUCGCUAAGUUGGAUGUGAAAACUCUGGGCUCAACCCAGAGCCUGCAUCCAAAACUGGCGGGCUAGAGUUCUGGAGGGGGUAGCGGGAAUUCCUGGUGUAGCGGUGAAAUGCGUAGAUAUCAGGAGGAACACCGGUGGCGAAGGCGGCUACCUGGACAGAAACUGACGCUGAGGCGCGACAGCGUGGGGAGCAAACAGG